GGCGUCACUGUAUACACAGAAGAUCGCGGCCGCCGGGCACACAAAUCUCAAUCUCGUUUCAUCCAGAAUGUGCGACAGACGGGGGUCGACCGCCGGUUGCUUCAUCAAAGGGCUGAUGGUCAGUAAAUAAACUACUUUUCAUGUCCUUUUUUGUAUUCCAGGUGGGGUGACGGAAUCUACGGGAGCCUGAUAAUUUAAUGAGAUUAUUCAAUUGAAGUCCUUAUCUCAUCGUGACCUGCAUGGCAGACACCAAAACAGUGGACAGCUCAUCUUAAAAAGUGAGACGCUUAUCGGCUGACCAGGGAUAUGGCAACAGUACAGCAGAAGACCACAAGAAUGGGUGGCGGCCACCAGUCAGGAUUGGGCCCAGAAGUUGAUUGACAGCCUGCCAGGGCGAAUUGCAGAGGUCUUGAAAAAGAAAGAAGGGCCAACUCAUCAAAUAUUGACUCUCUGCAUGAAGUUCAUGUCAUUGUCAAUAAAAGCCUUCGAAACUUCUGAA